rnacentral:rRNA from 1 species
UACGGAGGGUGCAAGCGUUGUUCGGAAUCACUGGGCGUAAAGCGCGUGUAGGCGGCUAUCUAAGUCUGAUGUGAAAGCCCUGGGCUCAACUCAGGAAGUGCAUUGGAUACUGGAUAGCUGGAGUACCGGAGAGGAGGGUGGAAUUCCUGGUGGAGCGGUGAAAUGCAUUGAUAUCAUCAGGAACACCGGUGGCGAAAGCGGCUCACUGGGUCUUUUCUGACGCUGAGGGACGAAAGCUAGGGGAGCGAACGGG